rnacentral:rRNA from 1 species
UACGGAGGGUGCGAGCGUUGUCCGGAAUCACUGGGCGUAAAGGGCGCGUAGGUGGCGCGGGCAGUCAACGGUGAAAGUUCGGGGCUCAACCCUGAAUCGGCCGUCGAUACUCCUGGGCUUGAGCACUGUAGAGGCAGAUGGAAUUCCGGGUGUAGCGGUGGAAUGCGUAGAGAUCCGGAAGAACACCGGUGGCGAAGGCGGUCUGCUGGGCAGUAGCUGACACUGAGGCGCGACAGCGUGGGGAGCAAACAGG